AGAGAGAGAGAGAGAGAGAACGGUGUACCAUAGAGAUCUCACGAGGCAACAAGGACGCGUGACAGUCGUGUUUCGAGAGCGUUGCAUGUCGAUAUGCAUCUGGCAUCGUCGUGCGUCGCCCUCGACGACGCGAAACCAUUAAUAUUUUUGCACUUUCUUCUCAAAGCCGUAAAGAGAGACAGAGAAAGAGGGAGAGAAAUGCGGCCGGUAUAAAGUCGUGCCCUUAUCGAGGCACACGGCCGAGAAAAUUUCUCUCAAUCUCUUUCUUUCCUCGUCAGACCUUUUACGAAAAAAAAAAAAAUAAAGAGAAAAGGAAGAUGGACUGACCUCGGCUGCUUUGAGAAGCUGCGCGUAGUUGAACUCGGGGCAUGCCUUCUCGUUCGACUCUGGCAGAGUGAGCGUAAAACGGAAGGAGGGCGCAAGCUGUUUGCCCUUCUCACCCUUUUUCUCCUUCUUCGCGGCGUGGCCCAGGGACUCCGGAAACUCCAGGGUUUGCAGGGGUACCCGUUUAACCUCUGACAUUCCUACAUUUGCACCGAGCUCGAUUGCGUAUCACGGGAAACACUGCGUUGGCCGCGGCGACAACAUGGUCCCUUUCUCUUCUUAAACACUACACCGACACCGCCACUCGCACGUCGCCAUCUUCGGCACGACUGUUUUUAGAGUGCGCUGCUGACGCCGCUGCUCCUAUUAUCGCCGCCGUCGCCGCCACUAUCGUAUGCGCGCGCAAAACCAUAUUAAAACGGCAUAGCGCAACCCGCACUCAUUUUAAAUAUAUCCUUAUUCCAUUACUUUUGUUUUCUUCAUAUUAUUCUUUUUCUUAAGCUUCUCAACAAAUAAUACAUCAAUGAUAUAUUAAAGUAAAUAAUUAUAAAUGAUUAAUUAUAAAUAAUUUUAUUAAACAAAGAUUUGAUAACGAAAAUGUAUUGCAAAGUUAUACUUGCAAGUACUUGAAAAAUAUUUUAAUGCGGAUAUGCAUGAAUCGUAAGUUUUUCUAAAACUUCGAUUGGUUUAAACGGAACAUUUGCUUUAUAUUAUCAUUGGCGAUAAAAUGAUAUAUUUUCUUAAGUUUUUGGACAAAUAAAAUUUGCAAUAAAUGACAUUAAUAUAAAUUUGUCCAUUAUAUAUAUAUGUGUGUGUGUGUGUGUGUGUGUAUAGGAAGAUUGAUCGAAACUUAAGGAAAUUUUACGUAUUCUUUAUUACGAUAUUUUUUUAUAAACUUACAUACAUUGAUCGCGUUUGAAUUCUUAUGUAAAAAUAUGUGUCUUUAUGUACUAUGAUCUAGUUCAUUUUUGUAUAUAUAACAUAUCUCACAUUGAUGUGCCUGCCAAUAGUUAGAUUAAAUAUGUGAUUAUAAUAUGCAUAACAUCACAUAGAAUUUUUUACAUAUGGAAUAUACAUCCAAUCAAAUAUAUCUUUGUCAUUAUUAUCAUCAGUAUUAUUAUCAUCUUCUUUUGCCAUUUUAAUUGCUAAAAACUUUUUCCCUAAAAGUUUCAUCAACUCUGCAUGAUUUAAGUUCGUUUCCUUUUUCACAGUAUUAUAAUUGUCUUUUACAUAAAGUGCAAAUGCAUUUGGUUCUCUUUUUGGUGCUUGUAUUAGAGUUGUACCAGAUUUCGUUGUUUUUCUGAUGAAUAAUUCAAAUUUUCCAUUACAAUAAUCACAUCGUUUGUUUUCAAUGUCUAAAGACUUUGAAUGUCUUCCAAUACUAAAAUUGAUUGAAACGGAAUGACAAUUAAUCAGAUUAAUUAUCAAUAAUUAAUUAAUAAUUAAUAGAAAAUGAAGUAAAUAAUAAAUCAUGCGAAAAUAUUAUUAAUAUUUUUUAUACCUGCAUCCACAUUGCAUACAUUUAUACAUGAAUUUUGUAUUUAUGUUAUAAUCAUGAAAACGACGAAUGGGAGGAAGCUCAGGGAAUAUUUUCAUGGCCCUGUUAGCCCUAUAUAUAAAAUAUAAUAAAAUAAAUAACAUGUAUAGAAAGCAAUUUAUUCGAAAACUUACCACGUUAUCCACAAGUAUCCAUGACCAUUUGAGGUGCCAUUUAUUAUCCAACAAGCAGCAUGGCAGAUUUCAUGAAUUAAGUACGUUUAACACAUACUUUAGUUGAUAGUUCUAUUCUUGAAGUUCUGUAAAGACGUCCAUGUGAAUUUAUAUAUGAUCUAUUAUGACAGUACCCUGCUACUUCUCUCAUAUGAAUAUUCCAUUCUAUUACCAUAUCUUCAGGUAACAUUUUAUAAAAAAUAUUUUCAUUAUAUAAUUUAUACAAAUCUUUGCAAAGUUCUUCUUUAUUCUUUUUAUAUGAUUGCCUAUAUUUUUUUGCAUCUGGAUGAGCAAUAGUCAGAGGUACUGAAUCAGAUAAAGAGGCUAAGAAACUAUAUGUUUCCUUUUUAUCGCUUUCUAUGUAUGGAAAAUGAUUUUUAUUUGUUGUUGUCCUUGUUGAAUUUUGUUUUAUUCCAUGUAUAUAUGAAAAUUUAUUUUCUGUUUAAUUAAAAAUUAAAGGACUUCAAAAGCAUUGAAAAAUUUGUUAAACACUUUUACAAUAUCAUGUUUAUAAGUAUAUGAUUUUAUUACCUCUUUUAUGUAUACGUUUUUCAGUAAUAUCAUCAUCUGGAUCAAACUCACUUGUAUCAGAACUGCUUUUUUCAUUGUUAAAUGAUGAUAUUUUCUUAUCUAAUACUUUCUGUACUGCACAAUCAGUAUUACAUUUGUCUUUUGUAUCAGAAUCAUAUAUUUCGAUAGGUCUAUAAAAAAAAAAUUUGGGAAUUAUAUUUUGUAUUGUUGCAUAAAAAAUAAAUAAAAAUAUAUCAUACCUUUGAACAGAAGACGAUAUAGUAUUAAGUUUGUCAGAUACAAUAUUUGAUGCUUGUAGAUUUGUUAGAGCAGUAUAAUAUGAACAUUCGCUUUCAUUCUCAGAGGAAGAAGUAUUAUACUUAGAUUGCUUUUGAUUUAUUAAUCUUACUUUCUUAUUUGUACUAGAUGUAUUCUGUUUAUCUGUCGCCUUUAUUGAAUAAUGUUUAUUUCUUGUAGCUUUUCUAUAAACAAUAAAGAUAAUACUUCUUCUUCUGAAUACUUCUUCAUAUAAUCGGUUAUUUUUUAUUUUAGCAAAAAACUUACCUAUCCUUUUGUACAGUUCUAUCUUUUCUCAUAACAAUUGAUUGUUUUUCUGUUGGAGUUGAAAGCAAAUCAUCUGCUUUAUCUCUCCAUACUUGACCAUAUAACUUAUCCAAUAUAUCUGUACAUUGGAUAACAUUCAUAUUAUUCAAUUCCUUUUUAUCUUCAUUUUUAUAUUGAUCAUUUUCCUUUUUAUCUUCAUUUUUAUAUUGAUCAUUUUCCUUUUUAUCUUCAUUUUUAUAUUGAUCAUUUUCCUGGAAAACGUAUGAAAAUACAGGAGGAUCGGGUUUUUCUAAAAAUUGAUGCGAUACAAUAGGAGUACUUUUUGUAUUUAAUGGAGUAAAAUAAUUAUCAAUUCUUUUAAACUCUAUUUUUCCUCUAUUAUUCGGAGUUUCAUAAUUCAUCUCCAAUCUUUCUAAACUACUGUUUCCAGAACUUAUACUAUUUUUAUUGCUUGCAGGUACAUUAUUGAAUGAAGAAUUGUCACUAUCCAAUCGUGGUAAACCCGUCAUAAGCCAAUUUGAAAUUUCUUUUUUUUUUCUUUUAGAUAGGGUUUUUACUGUAUUAUCUUUAGGAGAAUCAACAGAUUGAUCAUGUAUUUUAGAUGAAGUUACUGUGUUUAUUUCAGUACGUUGAUUUUUGAUAAUAUCAGAAUUUGAAAGGGUUUCAUCUAUUAUUGUAGCAGAUAUUCGCUGUGGCAUAAUCAUCUUUUGCUUUAUAAAUAAUCAAUUCUUUCCAAAUAACAAAGAAAUAAACAAUGGACUCAAUAAUCAAAUUUCUUUUGGAAAUAAUAAAAUUUCGUUGAUACUAUUUCGUAUUCUCUGCAAUGUGCUGUAAUUGAUAAUAUCAAGAUAUUCGUUACACGUCAACGACAGGUAUGAUUCUGAAAAAUUAAUAUUGUUAGUAUGUUAUGUGCAAUGAAUGAAUAUGGAAUAUUCGUCAAAUAUGCACUACUAUGAUUAUGAAAAAAAUGGAAAAGAAAACUUCGUUUGCGAGUUUUGCAUGAGUCAUACUUUUUUUUUUUUCUGAAUAUUGAAAGAGAUAGAAAGAGAGAGAGAAAGAGAGAGAGAGAGAGAGAGGGAAUUUUUCUAAUUUGCCUUGUUAUGGCAGAGUAAAUUGAUUUUUUCAUAUGUACAUUUUGUAAGCAUAUGUAGAUUUUGAAAAUAAAUAUGUAAUCUUCCUUACAUAAAUAUGCAUAUAUCUUUUGAGUUAUCUGCCGGAAGUACAAUCAAAUUAUUUUUUAUAAUUUCGCUCAAUUUUUGCAUGAAGUCCAACGAUAUUUUGGCGUUAGUUUAAAUUGAACGCAUUUCAUUAAAAAAAAAAAAAAAAAAAAAAAAAAAAAAAAAAAAAAAAAAAAAAUUGG